CGCUGGCGGUGUGCUUCACACAUGCAAGUCGAACGAGGUAGCAAUACCUAGUGGCGGACGGGUGAGUAACGCGUGGGAAUCUGCCUUGAGAUGGGGGAUAACGAGCCGAAAGGCUCGCUAAUACCGCAUAUGCCGAAAGGUGAAAGGAGUAAUCCGUCUUAAGAUGAGCCCGCGUCCGAUUAGCUAGUUGGUGGGGUAAAGGCCUACCAAGGCGACGAUCGGUAGCUGGUCUGAGAGGAUGAUCAGCCACAAUGGGACUGAGACACGGCCCAUACUCCUACGGGAGGCAGCAGUGGGGAAUUUUACGCAAUGGGGAAACCCUGACGUAGCGACACCGCGUGAGCGAAGAAGCCCUUUGGGGUGUAAAGCUCUGUCAGCUGGAACGAAAAAAUGACGGUACCAGCAGAGGAAGCAUCGGCUAACUACGUG
rnacentral:rRNA from 1 species